AUGGCCAAAUGUGGUAUGACAAAGACACCCAGAGGGUUCAUCAGAACGGCAAAAGUCAUCUUCUCUGGGCACUUUGCACAAUAUGGAUUUGACUCCUCCCUACCCCCCAAAUCUGGAUUAACCCCCCUCCCUCUGUGGCAAAGCCAAACUCCUCAGUGUAAGCUUCAGGUCCCCUCACACUCCCGCUCACCGCCAGGCCUCGCCAGCACCGUGGUGACUCCAGAACCUUCCCAUCGGGCCUUUCUGCUUCCCAGGCUGGGAGAAGAGAGUGUCCAGGGGAGGGUGGGGUGGAGGGAAGACUAUACUCUAAACGUCUUCUUCUUCUUUCUCUUCUGCUGCUGCCUGCUACCUCAUGCUCUUCCCUCUUUCUGUCUCUCGGAAGUUGUGCUGAGAGAGAAAACAAUCCUGACCAGAGGAGGGAUCCAGCCCGGGCUGGUGUUAGUGGAGUGUGUGUGUGUGUGGUGUGUGUGUGUGUGUGUGUGUGUCUCAGGAGGCUGGAACCACAGCUCCUCCUCCUGAACCUCAGAGGCGGGCCAACCCCUGAUCUGCGUUGCCAUGGCGACCCACCUAAGCCUCUUUCACCUGGAGCUGUAUUAUCCGUAGAGGGAGCCCGCCUGACCUGCCACAGAUGCCUGGGAAGACCCAGGUGGUGACAGGGCACCUGUGUCCAGAUGGCAUUCCUUACUGCGUUCUGGCUGGCGCACCUGCUGGGGACAGAUGAUUCCAUCUUGGCGAAGCUUCCCUCUUCCCACGUGCUGCCCUCCACCAGGAGAGGGGACGUUCUGGGGGCUGUCCCUGAAGAGCCAUGUCUUCGCCUUUGCCUCACCACCUGUCCUCCUCUUUGCUAAUUGAAAUUCUCUCUUUCCCUCAAGCAAGCUCAAGGGCAGGAAGUUCUGCUGACUUUCUCAAGGAGAGGUGAGGCUGAGAAAUAAUCUGGGGAGAAGAGGGAACAUGGAUCAUGGGGAUGGAUUUUGAGGUAUUUGAGGUAAAUGCGGGACUGGCAGGAGUCUUCUGUUGCCUUUCUCCCGUAUCUGAUACUUGCGUCUGAGCCUCCCGUCUGUGUCCAGGCUCUGGACGCUUUAUCGCUUGCAGACUAUUUUGUUUAGGGGCCCAGUGUAUCCAGGCUGUGCACCCCCCCCCCAGACAUUAGUGGGCACAGACACGCAGGCAUGUCACCCUGUGAGCGGCAUCGACCUCCAGUGAUGGGCACCGAGCUGCGUUAUAAUAGAUCUCAGGUGAUGCUGUGCCAGGUACCAGCUGAUGGAGUGCCUUCUGGACACAUCUAGUCCUAACUGUGUUGAAAAUAAAGCAGAAUGCAUAGCCA
rnacentral:lncRNA from 1 species